AGUAACGCGUAGGAAUCUACCUAUCGGCGGGGGAUAGCCCGGAGAAAUUCGGAUUAAUACCGCAUACGCCCUACGGGGGAAACGAGGCCACUCCAUGGAAGCUUUGACCGAUAGAUGAGCCUGCGUUAGAUUAGCUAGUUGGUAGGGUAAAGGCCUACCAAGGCGACGAUCUAUAGCUGUUCUGAGAGGAUGAUCAGCCACACUGGGACUGAGACACGGCCCAGACUCC
rnacentral:rRNA from 1 species